UGAAAGACAGUUACUAGCAAGUGAACCCAAGUGUCAGCAGAGGGGUGAAAUGGUACUUCCCAGAGGAUGCAGCACAGCAUCCCCUGCUCUCAGAGGGAGCUUGCAGCAAGAUCCCCAAAGCCAAGAGGGUCCAAAACGCUGCUUUUCCUAGGCUGAAGGAUUUCUUUUGCAACCUCCUGUGUUUCACAAACUUGUGUUCCAACACGCAGCAUUCAUUUCACCAAGGAGCAGCAGGUCCUGGUGAGAUAUUUUACUUGGAAACAUGCCUAGUAAGAGGAGAUUAGGCAUCACAUCACUUUGCCCUAAGCACUGAGUGUUGGAGAAACUGCCAGUACAGACGGGCUACACCCAAAGACAUUCCCACCCCACUCCCAGGCCAUGGACACGGAUGGAAAUCAAAGCUGUUCCUGCACACCUGCACAAGACCCAUCUGAGCUGAACCAGUUCCUACACCAACAGUGGGUGAGGGUGAAGUGAGGAAUGAGUCAAGAUCGAUCUACGUUUUUUCUUUUACUUAAGCUUUAAAAACAGAAUUAGUCUCCUGUAACAUUCCUCUGGCAUUUCAAGUGCCUCGAGCUUCUCUCCCUUUUCUCUGCUUAACUUAGAAGUCACAUUUGUCUUUUGCUGUAUUUACACCAGACUUUAAUGCAAAUAAAAUCAGCUUACCUACUGUGCAAGACGAAUGCA